AAGUCGUAACAAGGUUUCCGUAGGUGAACCUGCGGAAGGAUCAUUACACUCAGUAGUUUACUACUGUAAAAGGGGCUGUUAGUCUGUAUAGCGCAAGCUGAUGAGCAGCUGGCCUCUUUUAUCCACCCUUGUCUUUUGCGUACCCACGUUUCCUCGGCAGGCUUGCCUGCCGGUUGGACAAAUUUAUAACCUUUUUAAUUUUCAAUCAGCGUCUGAAAAACUUAAUAAUUACAACUUUCAACAACGGAUCUCUUGGUUCUG
rnacentral:misc_RNA from 1 species